rnacentral:ncRNA from 1 species
ACCCAGCACUCUGCUCGAUUUCCUUCAUCUGAAUUUCUGGAGAUUAAGUAAAAUGUAACUAAGCCGCGACGAGUAGGAGGGCCGCUGCGGUGCGCCUCGAAGCCUGGGGCUUGGGCCUGGGUGGAGCCGCCGCAGGUGCAGAUCUUGGUGGUAGUAGCAAAUAUUCAAACAAGAGCUUUGAAGGCCGAAUGAUCAUCGACACUUCGAACGCACUUGCGGCC